CUCCUUUCAUGAUUUAGACAAUUGUGUUAUACCAAAUUUCCGUUCGAUUUUCUCAUGUUCUGCUCACUCUAAGGAAGGUGGGUAGAUGAUUGUCAAACUUCUGGGCUGUUAUGGAGGAUCCUACAGGUGGACGGCUGGGCGACGUGCUGAUUCUCGGUGGAAGGGAGCGAGGAGGCGGAGAGUUCGAUCAGAGAAAGCAAUUGUGCAAUCUCUUUCUCCAGGUAAGUGAUACCCUGACAACAGUUUGAUACUAUUGUUGUAUUUGAUUCCUUUCGCUUCAGUUACAGGCUAUAACUAUCCUGCAAGAUGGUGGGACGAAUCAGAAGUCCACCAACCGCUUGCACGUGUCAUGCGUGUUUGUCGGAACAGAUUUGCAGCUACCCCUAUCCUCUCCAUAUCAGGUUCUCCCUACAACCUCUUCUUCAUGGAGUACGUUUGAUUCUGCCAUCGCAAUACAUUUUCUGCCAGUCCACUUCUUAAAUCUAGAGAUUUAAAAAAUGUUGUACCUAGAACAACAUCAGUUGUCUGGCUUGGAAAUUUCAUGUAUUGGUCGAUGCAAAGCUUAAAUAUAGAUGUUGUGCUCCAGAUACUAAAGCUUUAUAUGAUCUGGCUGUUCUACUGACAUUUUUCUCUUAAAUUGUACUCAUUACUUCAGAGAAAGAUGGAUGGUCGUAUGUACACCAAUCUGGAUCAACAGAGCUUACUACGUUGCAUUAACCAUACCUUUGUGGUCGUCAACUGAAAUGGAUUAUUUUUUUCAAGUAUUAUUUCAUGGAUUACUGUUUGCUAUUCCAUUACUUGGUGGUAUGAUCUGUAUUCCCUUUUUAAAUGCAUUGUAUAAUUAUGUGUUCUCUAUUAUCCUUGACAAUAGAACAAUAAUUGAUUUGAAUUCUUUCCACCGGUCUGUGUCAAAGCUCCCGACACCGCAUCUAUUGAUGACACCACACACCACUUGAGGAUGCUUCGUUUUCUCACUCAAGCACAACGUGAGCAUGCCUUCACUCUUUGAUGACUUUUUUAAUAUGCACCGGAGGCGGAGAAUAAAUUUGAUACACCAAGUAUUUUUGGUGAUUCGAGAGUGUCAACUAUACUUCAGGAAGAACAUUUAGUGAUUUCCAAAAUGUACAUAAGCAUGUGCAGAAUAUCAUGUAAUGCAGCAUGCUCAUUUUAGUUUUUUGUAUUGCAAGUAAUAUGUUAGGGUCGUGUAUAUAAAUGUGCUCUAGGUUGUAACAACUCACAAUUUUUUGAUGACUUAAAUUUAUUCUCAUGCAUCUGAAUCACCAUUUGAUUCACUAAUAAUGCACACAUGGCGCUUCCACUUUAGUACAUUAUUUGCUAUCACAUGUAUAUAAUAUAGUUGUCCUUUUUUUUCUUGCAACUUAUUUUCUUAAAAUUCCCGCUGCAACGCGCGGGGUAUCUUCUAGUUUUGUUAUAUUCAGGGCUGUACCAACUUCUAGUAAAUUUUAACCUUUAUUUAUGUUUUUUUUCACUUAAAGCAAAUGCUCCUCUUUAUCCAGGUUAACGACUAUUGUUAAGGAAGCUCAUCGCUUGCAUCAAAUCGAAUUGCGUGAAAAGGAACAUUUGAAGUUCUUGCGCCUUCUUCUUAAGGAUUUUAUGAUUAAAUAUGGCAUUGACACUGAGAAUUGGAUUCUGGUCCAAUUUGCAACAGCUCUGAAGAUUAUUGUUUUAUGCCCCUGGAGCAUCAG
rnacentral:lncRNA from 1 species